AAAAGAGAUUUGCUUGGUGUCGCCUCGUUCACCUCAAAACGAAGUCAAAGGCAUUAAGAUGAAAGUGGUUCUGACGGGUACGAGACUGCAGACGAAACUCUGCCACCACAGAUGACUCCUCCAGGAAGCGGCCUUGGUAGCACCAGCAGUUAGCAUCCGGAAACCCCACCAUCGCCGCCGCCGCCCCGAAGAUCAUCCCGACGAGUGUCUCCUCCGCAUCGCCUAACCUAUGACGAGAACUUUGAGCAAGAGGGAUAGUUUUCUUUUGUGUGUGUUGUGUGUGUGUAAUGUGUGUGUGUGUGUGUGUGUAAUGUGUGUGUUGUGUGUGUCAAAGUUUUAUUUCAUUUUUUUUUUUGUAAAGAAAGGAAGGUGUAUCGGCCAUUGGCCUAACAUGACCAAGCAGCACGGGGGGCUGGCUUCACGUGCGAAUAAAAAAGGGCACGCGCUGUUCCAACCGACUGAUGCGAUACGAUUUCACAUUACAGUUUGUCCCGGCAAGCAACUUGUACUGGCAGAUGCGCUGUCCCGCCUAAACACGUGAAGCCAGCCCCCCAUGCUGCUUGGUCGUGUUAGGCCAAUAGCCGAUACAACGUAUGGGUCGCGUGAAGUUCGCGCUCCUUUACUCCUACUCCGACGCUCCGAGUUUCAUACUCCGAGCGCAGCAACUAAACGACGCAUAGCGUACAGGAGCGCGACAGACCGAGGCUGCGUUCGAAAUCUAUUCGAAUGGAUCCGAGUUACCCUGCGGAUAUGUCACGUGACAACACAAAUAGAUGAACGCUGGACGCGGGUAGGUUUUCGCACGCUAAGGUACAGAGCCUUUAACCUAGACUGAGAUAGAGUAAAUUUUAGAACACGGCCCGAAACGAUCGUCGGUUAUGACAAACCCGGCUUCUGGAUACAGGUGGCAGAAGCCGUAAUUAUUUCGAAGGUUAAUUAUGCCCGUGUGGAGCGGCAGUCUAAAGCAGACGAGACGGCAACGUUAUGAAGUUUCUACAAAUGUUUUAAUAUUCGUGAAAGGUUUGAAGACUCACUUCGUGCACAUAUGUGGAUUGUUACCUUGGUCAAUCUAUUUAUUGGCCAUGCAUGCUGUUCCCAUUUAAAUUAAAGACAACAUUCUUGAACCCGGUCGUUGACGCAGGAAACCCUGAAAUUUGCCAGAGAUUUCCUGGUUCCUUCUUGCAGUGCGAGGCGGAAUCAGGGAAUCUGAGCUACGCCGACACUGGCGCACCAUCGUUCGAAAGCACGUGGAUUCGUUUUUAGGUGGUAUGCAUGAACAAACCUUUUCCGUGACACUUAACUGAUAUGUUUCGGCUUUCCAAUCAAAGUAUCUUGAUUCGCUGGGCUAGGCAGGCAGCAUUCCGACUGUAUUCUCAUCACAACGUUUCUGUUGCCGAGCUAUCGACACGCUCGUUUGAUAGAUCAAUUCAUUUUCAGGCAAGACGCACAAACAAACCUUUUUCUCAAUGCUUGCUGAUGUUUUGGCUUUCAAAUCGGAGCAUCUUGAUUCGCUGGGCUAAGCAUUAUAAAAGGGGCAGAGCAGUCCGAAUGUCUCCUCAUCUCGACAACUUUUCUGUCGCUGUGCUAUGGACAUGCUAUUGUUUGAUAGAUGACCUCGUUUUCAGGCGAGAUGCACAAACAAACCUUUUUCGGAACGCUAGUUGCUGUCUUGGCUUUCAAAUCAAAUCGUUUUUACCUGUUGGCGCCGCGACUGUUGAUGAAUCUGCACCGCGCCACCAACCCGCACUGCCAACACGUAUCGCAGAUGCGCAACCUGUACGCACCACUUUUCCGCUUGUCGCUCGCCGCCGUGUUUGCUUUUCUUUUCGGCUUUGGCUCGGUUAUGGAAUUGUCCAAAAACAGACUCCUCCAAAAGCUCACUCCUCCAAAAGCUCACUCCGCCUCGAAGGUCAGGCGUCGUAGCGAAGUCGAGCGGCCAUUGGCAGCGUUUGUGUUUCUCCUUCAGGUGAUUGACAGGCCUCGGUGAGGUUUCAGCAAAAUAUUGCUCCUGAAGCGAAGAGCACGCGCAGUGUUUAUUGGAGGCUACCACUUUUACGGUCGCGCUCACACGGGUCAUCUGUUUCCCGAAACCUAGUUUCACGACAUAAGAUUCGCCAACAAGAUGCAUCGUGUGAAUAGACCCUCUGAACAGACCUUAAGAGCAGCGCCUCAACGGGAAGUACGGAAGUGUGCAAAAAGUGGAUUCACUUAGCGUGACUGCACCGACAUGACGCUCAUAGGAGUCCCUACCAUUGCAAAGCUCAAACAUUUUCUCUCAUUUGGGUUUUGUGGGUCGCUGUCGAAAUGACCAUCACGAAGCUUCGCCGUCCACUCUUUCGGUGGUGGCAUAGUUUUGUCCAUGAGGACUCCUAAACUGGUUGAGAAGGUCUAUGUAGAAGCUAUAUAAUUAGACAUUAUGUGAAGCGAAACAAUGAAGGAAAUAAGGCGUGCAGUGAUCAGACUGCAGGAAUCGCACGGCUGAGCGAAACUGGCCAUAGAGAAAAUUUGGCAGGCUCCCCUCUCGGUACGGCAUGAUGGUAAUGGGGGGCAAAGCACCCUAGUGUGACAAGAUGAGCGAGCCAUGUAUAUCCUUUGUCAUGCGAGUCACUUAUCACUUUAUUUGAAAGUGGUCCAAGAAUGAACACUGACUCUGCUACUCGUUCAGUUUCAAACAUCGAACACUCGCUGAUGGCGACAAUCGGACGAUGGUUAUGAGUUACUCUAUGAGAGUAGGUCUGGAGGUAAACAACCCAGGGGACCCCAGAGACCCUAGAAAACUUGUAGUUAAAAUAUUUGCCCAAUUUCGGAAAUCCGUUUCCGAGCCAUCGUUCUUGGAACUGUCAAAGAAUAAAGUCUUCUGUGAGUGCAGCGGUAAAUCAGCUCUGUGGUCAUUUAAUUAAAAAUUUGUGGGAAGACCAGAGUUGCCAAUUUCCUCUGUCAUUGUCUGCCUCCUCUAUUUGUUUCAGGACACCAAGGCGUGCCACAGGCCAAUGCCCAAUUGACUUGCCAACACUGCGUGACAUGAAAUCCCGUCGCAGUGGUUCGCUCCCCUCCGAGGCAUUGGGGACGCGGGAAACGGCCGUUCGUCUUCUACGGUACCCUCCAUGUACAGAUCCGCGCCACUCCAGUCAAGCUCCUGCAACAAGGGAAAAGAAUGAGUCUUUACUUGCGACGGCGGCCGAUAUCCUUGUCGGCAUACGUUCCAAGGAUGCGGUCCAUGUUGUUUUCCAUCCACUUCUGGAGUGACUGGUCGUCAAUGGACGUGGCCUCCCCGACAAUGUUCUACUUAUCUUCCACUCCUGGUUUCAGGGACAGCACCUCCCUUUUUCCCACCGACGUCCCGGAGCUCACGGAACUCGACAUGGUCGACAAACCGGCGGUGCAGAAGAAUCAGGCAACAGUCCGAGUCUAUUCCGUGGAAUUCUAAUUGUGCAAGUCCGUUGUCCAUAGGGGAAGUCAGGAUGGCAGAAGGAGCAAAGCAGGAUGGGGUCAGUACGAUACGAAAAGCAGUGGACGAAGGACGAUAACAACGGGGGUGCCCUGCGUGACCCGUGCCACGGUGUGUUCGAAACUCCAAACGAUAUGACUCUGGAGUUGGCAUUGCACAACGCAUACACCCCACUCAAGUCUUACAAGUGUGGUACUCGCGACUCGCGAGUAUGCGAACAGGACGACGCUACCUUGCGUUAGCUACCCCUGCCGACUCAGUUAUUCUGGCGCGUCCAGCAGUUAGUUGUACCCAUCGCAUGACAGCAAAAGAGAAACAUUGAUGAUUGGCCGCUAAGAAUGCUGCUGUCAGUGAAUUAACUUGGUUAUUUUUUCUCCAGUUUGUUUUGAGGAGCCUCAAAGACAUGGCACCACAUGAGGCGGUGCGGUGAAGCAAUCUCAUAGGAGCUACGCGAUAGGGAGAGCAGGCCACGCUGCAGAGGCUGCCGGCAGCCGAAUUUCGAGCAGUGUUUUGCUAAAAAUUUUCAGAAAGGUCAUAAAUAAUUGUGAUUGCUUGAUUUUUUGUCUGGUCGGCACGAAAUUUGUCUUCGUUAUAUCCGCUCAGGCUUUUUUAUUUACUUUGUUAUAACGUGACCCAAAUUGCAUUAAAAAUGCAGAAAUGGGAAGGGAAAUUUCGGGCCAGGUUUUGCUGUAUAUAACAUCUAUCUUGAGUCAAUCUGUAAUCUUCUCUGGUCACACCUAUACGAGGAACACCAAAUCGUCAUAGUUCUUUUUUCUUAUAAUUAGACCAUCAAUUCUGUACCAUAACCGUGCUGUUCAAAGGAUAGAGACAGCGAAAGCAUGCACUAACAAAUAUGGAUGCGUUCACGUGUACGAAGACAUGUCAGAUGACAUCCACCGCCGAGGCACACGCCACUUAAGGAAGUGGGUGCCAUACCUGCUCCAAGCCGGCGGCCCUCGCCUCUGCGAGGUCCACCAGGCGUCACUGGUCUUGCAAGUAUUCUUCGGCAGCAUCGUGGGAUGCCUUGCGUUUUCGAUGCCAUAGUGCUUGCACAGGGCAACUGUGCAAGGGCGGCUGGCUGGCUGGGAACUAAGGGUGAAAGCAAUUGUAAGCAAAGUAGGAGGUUAAACGAGACAGAAGUGGUACAUCAACAAGCAAGAACUCUGUCAAGCUCCAUGUGCUAUCUUAAAAAGUCUGGGAAACCCCUAAUAAAUACCAUAAAAUGCCCAGCAUGUGCACGUUUCACAGCACAUGUACAGACGCUACUUUUAAAACGUGUGGAAAUUAUUCAGUAGGUCACUUAAAGCGACCACUUGAACUGAACCUGCUGUGUCAGCUGCUUCUCCGAGCACACCCAUGCACGGCAGUCAAGCCUGACGCGUGUGCAACGAUUCGAAACAUUCCCUUGUAAAUAUUUUUGUUUAGCUGAACAUGUGCCUAGACACUUGGUUUUCAGGAAUCUGUUGCAGUUAGAUUGCACAUUUCAUCAGUAUUUUCAGGCAGCACUGUUAAUGUGCUGCACGGAUAUAGUGCAUGCGCAGAAGUAAACACUUGAAUGGAGGCAUCUUUUUCCUCCAAGGUUAUCUUGUGGACGCGUGUUUUAUCGCACCUCAAGUCUGAAUGUACUGUUACGAUAGAAAACAAAAGCUACUGAUGCCGGGUCGGCCGGACCGGGGAGCGAUGCCUGGCGGGCCGUGCCUCGACAAAUGCUACCCACGAUCAGCGCCGCAGGAAACAAGCAGACGUCGGUUCGCGGGACCAAACUGCACGGGCGGCAGGCCUGGUGGCUGCCACUACGAUGUGGUGUCUGGUAGCGAUACUGGCUCUCGUUCAAAUAGUCUGGCGGGUCGUGCCUCGACUUUCAUUCAGGGAGUCUGCUCACUCACUGCCUCCAGUGGGGUGGGAUCUCCCUUAUAAAGGGUGCCCCGACCCCAAAAUACGAGCCCCUUGGGAAUUGAGGGGUUAGGGAGAAAAGGGAAGGCGAGGAGGAAUCGUCCCUUGUGCAAUCUAGCUGUUCCGGCGUUACUUCGCCAAGCGCCACCAGCGCCAUCUAUGGGAGGUCCCGUGCAGUCACAUUUAUUUUUGUAACAGUACUGUAACAAGCCGUGCAUUUGUCUCAUUUUAGGAUCCUGUUUAAAUUUGUUCUCGCAGGCAGGACAUAUGUGGUCUGAAACGCUGAUAGCAAUGCUUGCUAUAGUGAGCAACUUGCCGGAUGUGACGGUCGCGCCCUCCUCUCCAACUGACCAAUGCCCGGAAGCUGGUGGUGCAGCUUGGGGUCCUCUUUUUAUUUGUUUGAAUAAUGAAGGACAUAUAUGAACUGAAACACGGACAGCAUCGCUUACCAUAUUGAGCAACUUACGGGAUGUGCCGCUUGUCCCCGGAACCUCCCCAGCCGAAUCCGUUGUGUGUGACUCAGGUAAAGGAGGUGGUGAUGCACCCUGAAAGGGGUGCAGGGCUUUGAAAGUAAAUCUCUCCCUUGUGUAAUGACAACAGGGGCUUGGAGGCAAAACAAUACUUAGUGGUGAAAUGGAAUUUGGAGUGCGGUGGCUGCGGAAGAAGAAGAAAACUUCUUCCUCGAGACUCUCGAGAGAAUGAUCACGAGCAGACACGGGUCAGAAUGAUUACAACGCUCACUGCAAUCUCUACGAUUAAAUUGUGAUAUAUAGAAAUUGAGUUUUAUGAGGAGAAACAUAAUGCUGUAUGCUUCAGUAAUAUUCACAAGUGUUGACACGGCACUAGAAAACAACAUUCAGGAAAAGAGUGUGUUUUGCUUUUCUCCUGUGUUCUUCAGACUUCUCGCAUUCUGAUGCCAAGCAGAGCACAAUGUGCAUGCUCCAUGCACAUUUCAAACUAUAAUCAAAACAAACAAAUACCCAGAUUGGAAAAAUCGGCAUGUUAGAUGGGAGUUUACCCCUUAUGUUCAGAUGCAGCCUCUAAUUCCUAUGGGCAUCCUCACCAGACAGCACGCUUGAUAUGGUGUGCUCGACACAUGGCUCAAAAUCUGUAGAAUGUGCUAUGCGGCCAUCCUCAAAUUGUCAGGGUCCAUACAGUAUAUAAUACAACACACGUAUAGGUCUUAGGCAAAAGUAGUCUAGCUUUGCGUGUCCCACUUUUCCUUGUUUGUGUUCAUUUGGCUUUAGAGAAGCUUAGGUUCUUACUUCUGGCCGCCCCAGCAGCAUUGCCAAGCCACAGUCGUACAACGCGUCGGCCUCGCCGGGCACUGAGCCGCCGCCUGUACCGCCGGAUACAAACGUCACAAAACGAGUUCUCUUUGAUUCGGAGGUAUACAUAAGUUGCCCUGACGGGAAAUUGGGAGGUCACAGAGCUCUCUUUUGAUGUCAGUGUAACUCUGCAAAGCCAGUGCUUCGGAAUAUUGAUGGGUACAUAAAAGUUACACAUCAACACGUCAAGGGUCAAAGAUCACUGCUACUCAGUCAUUGCUUUGGCGGAAAUCGAUUGCCUUCCUCUUAGCCCACGAUACUUUGUCAGCCCAGUAAUGGCAAAAAAAGAACACCGACUAUAUAAAGGAGCACAUUAGCGUGUUUGAGCACUUUUCCUUCCUCAAGGCGGCUGUCAUUCCGCUAGAUCAUCUCCUGACUCAGGGCGUGCGCGGAGUCCACGUAGUGCGCGUAUGCCUCGUAAUGGAAUCCGGAUUCGUCGACAAAAUAUCUGCCGUGGUGGAAAAAAUCUAAAUAAUGUGCGACCUUCGGUCGAUCCAACUGACCGAUGUCGGCGGUCGAGAAUACGUCUGGAAGGUGGAAAAGUGCGCGGACAUAGUUUUGAACACUGUCGACGACGAUUCCCAAGAAGAUAGCACCGUGACCAUGUGCGAGGAGGUGGUCGAGAUACGACUGGGGCGCGACGAGGAACCGAUAGAGUUUACAGAGCCCAGGACGGUCAAGGUCGUCUUCCCCAUACCACUCAAGGGAUCGUCGGUCGUCGGCGCUCACGACAGCACCUACGUCCUCUUGGCCGUUAAGUCGGCCUCCUCCACCGGAAACGCUCUGUGGUGGACUCGCUACGCCUGUCAUCAAACGUCGCUCUACGUUCCGGAUCCCAUUGCCCGAUCGAGCAACGGCAGAGGACGUUACGCGGCACGAGCUCAUUUUAUUUUGAGAAUAAUAAACACGAGAAUAUUUUUACAAUAGUAUCAAGGUCACCCCCCCCCCCCCCCCCACCUGUGAAGCGUCGUCGGCGGCCUGACUUGCUUUUCACACACUGAGUGUCGAUACUAUUCAACCGAGUACAUGGUACCCGGACGAUUGGUUUUUGUGGGAAUAAAGACAGUUU
rnacentral:lncRNA from 1 species